rnacentral:lncRNA from 1 species
AGCAAUUAAAUAACAAAUAAUACAUCAGAGGCUAAUACCAAACGGGCAUGUCACACUGCUUUUCAAAUUUUCUUAAAUAGAAUAUAAAACUAUUUAAUAAACAUCCUUCAAAAACAUCAUUAAUUUGCAGCGGAAUAUUUGCAUCAAAAGCAACAACAACAACUGUUUAAUUCUCCAUAAAAUAAUCUUGGCAUAAAAGCCUCAUCAAAAUAAAUUCAACAACCAAAUAAAGGGCUACAUCAACAUGUUCCAAAAAUUGAUACAUAGGAAUGAAAAUAAGCAAAUAAAUCUCAUCCCGUAUGUAUCAGAGCCCUAGACACUUGAGUCACCACCUAAUACUCAGGAUCACCUGCAAGUUACCCAUAGGAAAGACAACAUUUUCAAGCAGAAGGG